ACUGAGGGGAUGAGCUGUGGGUAGGGGUGAAAGGCCAAUCAAACUCCGUGAUAGCUGGUUCUCCCCGAAAUGCAUUUAGGUGCAGCGUCACAUGUUUCUUGUUGGAGGUAGAGCUACUGGAUGGCCGAUGGGCCCCACAGGGUUACUGACGUCAGCCAAACUCCGAAUGCCGACAAGUCCAAGAGUGUGGCAGUGAGACGGCGGGGGAUAAGCUCCGUGCGUCGAGAGGGAAACAGCCCAGAUCGCCGGCUAAGGCCCCUAAGCGUGUGCUAAGUGGAAAAGGAUGUGCAGUCGCGAAGACAACCAGGAGGUUGGCUUAGAAGCAGCCACCCUUGAAAGAGUGCGUAAUAGCUCACUGGUCAAGUGAUUGUGCGCCGAUAAUGUAGCGGGGCUCAAGCACACCGCCGAAGCCGCGGCAACGAUUUAUCGUUGGGUAGGGGAGCGUCCUGCAUCCGGUGAAGCAGCAGAGUGAUCUAGCUGUGGAGGGUGUGGGAGUGAGAAUGCAGGCAUGAGUAGCGAAUAGGCAAGUGAGAACCUUGCCCGCCGAAAGACCAAGGGUUCCUGGGCCAGGCCAGUCCUCCCAGGGUGAGUCGGGACCUAAGGCGAGGCCGACAGGCGUAGUCGAUGGACAACGGGUUGAUAUUCCCGUACCCGUGUAUGUGCGUCCCUGAUGAAUCCAUUGUGCUAACCAUCCAAAACCACCGUGACCAAUCCCUUCGGGGUGAGGCGUUGGUGGGGCUGCGUGGGACCCCGGUGGGUAGUAGUCAAGCGAUGGGGUGACGCAGGAAGGUAGCCGUACCAGUCAGUGGUUGUACUGGGGUAAGCCGGUAGGGAGAAACGUAGGCAAAUCCGCGUUUCAUUGAUCCUGAGAGGUGAUGCAUAGCCGUUUGAGGCGAAUUCGGUGAUCCUAUGCUGCCAAGAAAAGCCUCUAGCGAGGACAUACACGGCCCGUACCCCAAACCAACACAGGUGGUCAGGUAGAGAAUACUAAGGCGUACGAGUGAACUAUGGUUAAGGAACUCGGCAAAAUGCCCCCGUAACUUCGGGAGAAGGGGGACCCCCAUAUCGUCAAGGCUCUUGCGGCCGGCAGCGGGAGGGGGUGGCACAAACCAGUGAGAAGCGACUGUUUACUAAAAACACAGGUCCGUGCGAAGUCGCAAGACGAUGUAUACGGACUGACGCCUGCCCGGUGCUGGAAGGUUAAGAGGACCCGUUAACCCCUUUGGGGGUGAAGCGGAGAAUUUAAGCCCCAGUAAACGGCGGUGGUAACUAUAACCAUCCUAAGGUAGCGAAAUUCCUUGUCGGGUAAGUUCCGACCUGCACGAAUGGCGUAACGACUUCUCAACUGUCUCAACCAUAGACUCGGCGAAAUUGCACUACGAGUAAAGAUGCUCGUUACGCGCGGCAGGACGAAAAGACCCCGGGACCUUCACUACAACUUGGUAUUGGUGCUCGAUACGGUUUGUGUAGGAUAGGUGGGAGACUGUGAAGCACGCACGCCAGUGUGUGUGGAGUCGUUGUUGAAAUACCACUCUGAUCGUAUUGGGCCUCUAACCUCGGACCGUAUAUCCGGUUCAGGGACAGUGCCUGGUGGGUAGUUUAACUGGGGCGGUUGCCUCCCAAAAUGUAACGGAGGCGCCCAAAGGUUCCCUCAACCUGGACGGCAAUCAGGUGUUGAGUGUAAGUGCACAAGGGAGCUUGACUGCGAGACGUACAUGUCGAGCAGGGACGAAAGUCGGGACUAGUGAUCCGGCACCUCUGAGUGGAAGGGGUGUCGCUCAACGGAUAAAAGGUACCCCGGGGAUAACAGGCUGAUCUUCCCCAAGAGUCCAUAUCGACGGGAUGGUUUGGCACCUCGAUGUCGGCUCGUCGCAUCCUGGGGCUGGAGCAGGUCCCAAGGGUUGGGCUGUUCGCCCAUUAAAGCGGCACGCGAGCUGGGUUUAGAACGUCGUGAGACAGUUCGGUCUCUAUCCGCCGCGCGCGUCAGAA
rnacentral:rRNA from 1 species